AUUGAACGCUGGCGGCAUGCUUACACAUGCAAGUCGAACGGCAGCGGGGGCUUCGGCCUGCCGGCGAGUGGCGAACGGGUGAGUAAUGCAUCGGAACGUGCCCAUGUCGUGGGGGAUAACGUAAGCGAAAGCUACGCUAAUACCGCAUACGUCCUGAGGGAGAAAGCGGGGGAUCUUUGGACCUCGCGCGAUUGGAGCGGCCGAUGUCGGAUUAGCUAGUAGGUGAGGUAAAGGCUCACCUAGGCGACGAUCCGUAGCGGGUCUGAGAGGAUGAUCCGCCACACUGGGACUGAGACACGGCCCAGACUCCUACGGGAGGCAGCAGUGGGGAAUUUUGGACAAUGGGGGCAACCCUGAUCCAGCCAUGCCGCGUGAGUGAAGAAGGCCUUCGGGUUGUAAAGCUCUUUCGGCCGGGAAGAAAUCGUGGUCUCUAACAUAGGCCAUGGAUGACGGUACCGGACUAAGAAGCACCGGCUAACUCCGUG
rnacentral:rRNA from 1 species